GCACAAUGCGGCAUCGGGCUGCGUCGACGUGGUCUGCGCGCCCGCGUCCUGCCCGCGCCGGCUGUCAUAAAUAUACUCAACAUGGCAGCCGCUGCCUCCACAACAGCGCCGACUGAAGCCCGAGAAGCCGCGUCAGCCAGCCUCGGCGUGACGCGGCCACACUUUGUAUAACCUGCACGCCACUUGCGAUUGAUCAUUAUACUCUAUUGCGCUCAAAAUGUACUAUGCAAUGCGAUUUAAUAAUAAAUCUGAUUUAAAUUGAA
rnacentral:lncRNA from 1 species